AGAGUUUGAUCAUGGCUCAAGAUGAACGCUGGCGGCGUGCUUAACACAUGCAAGUCGAACGGGGAUGCUUAUGGAAGGAGUGCUUGCACUUUGGAAAUGAGUAUCUUAGUGGCGGACGGGUGAGUAACGCGUGGGUAACCUGCCCCAUACCGGGGGAUACCACCUGGAAACAGGUGCUAAUACCGCAUAAGCGCACGGGAGCGCAUGCUCCUGUGUGAAAAACUCCGGUGGUAUGGGAUGGACCCGCGUCUGAUUAGCCAGUUGGCAAGGUAACGGCCUACCAAAGCGACGAUCAGUAGCCGGCCUGAGAGGGUGGACGGCCACAUUGGGACUGAGACACGGCCCAAACUCCUACGGGAGGCAGCAGUGGGGAAUAUUGCACAAUGGGGGAAACCCUGAUGCAGCGACGCCGCGUGAGUGAAGAAGUAUUUCGGUAUGUAAAGCUCUAUCAGCAGGAACGAGACAAGACGGUACCUGACUAAGAAGCCCCGGCUAACUA
rnacentral:rRNA from 1 species